rnacentral:pre_miRNA from 1 species
UCUUAUAGAUGAGCAAAGAAAGUGGUUUCUUGAGAGAGAUGGAAUCUACUCCUGAUGAAGAUCCUGCGAA